AGCAGCCGCGGUAAUUCCAGCUCCAAUAGCGUAUAUUAAAGUUGUUGCAGUUAAAAAGCUCGUAGUUGAAUUUCGGGGUCAGUACGCCGGUCGUGCCUUCGGUAUGCACUGGUGUCACUGAUUCCUCCCUUCUGAAGAACCGUUAUGCCAUUCAUUUGGUGUGACGGGGAAUCAGGACUGUUACUUUGAAAAAAUUAGAGUGUUUAAAGCAGGCUCGCGCUUGAAUACAUUAGCAUGGAAUAAUGAAAUAGGACGUUUGAUCUUAUUUUGUUGGUUCCUAGGAUCGACGUAAUGAUUAAUAGGGAUAGUUGGGGGCAUUAGUAUUCAAUUGUCAGAGGUGAAAUUCUUGGAUUUAU
rnacentral:rRNA from 1 species